UUUGUAUUGGAGUGCAAUGUCAACGGAAGAUGGUAAUGGACAGGUCAUAUGGGCUAAGUUUUCAUCAUUCUUGGAACAUAUGGCCAAUGUUCAUUCCAAUUUCUCCAAUCCAAUUUUAAUGCAUGUGCUCAUAGUGAUGACAUUGAGGAAAGGAUGUGGCUUGAUAAAGAAUCAGUUGUGUAUGAGAAAACACAAGCUGCUCUAUUGAAUAGCACGCUAAAAAGGUAUUUCUCAAGCAUCACCACUUUUACAGACCAGCUGCUUGGAAGGUUUUCACUCAGUGUUAAACCAUUUCUCUCCAAAAAUGAUUUCAUACUCAUUUGCAGGAAUGUAUUGCAGACACAUUUUGGCUGUUUUGCAUUUCAAUGAUAACUUGAGGAGGGAUGAGCUGGUGAUGAAAGGCAAGAAACAACUUAAAGUGCUAUAUCCAAAAUUUAAAAAUGGUGAAGCUACUGUGAGAAGUGUCAGAGUUCAUCAAAAUUUUGAUUAUAUUAAUGAACUUUAUAAAACAAUGAUGAGUGCUACCAAAGAACAAUUUCAAAAGGCAUCUGAAGAACUGUCAAAUAUGUCUCCUGCACCAAUGCAUACCAUGUUUGUUAGACAAUCAAAAGCAGAGGCAAUUAAAAAAAAGAUCAAUCGUCAAAAAAUGGUAGUUGAAAAUGUACCACCCACCAACGGUAUGACUAAAACAUACUUUAUUAAUUACUUACAGUUAUGAUGUCUAAUAUUACAAUCUCAAAAUUAUAAUAUUUUAGUCCCAUUAACAAUGUCAGAAAAUACCAUUAAUAUAACAAGAACUCGUCCCACACUGUCAAACUUGUGGGAAACCAAUGAAAGGUCACCAACAGGUCCUGGACUGUCCAUAAAACAAGAAUCAAAAAUGAGGGUGAAUCAUUGGCAUAUAAGUAGUAAAUUAUUUAUCCUCAAAUUCUUCAUCAUCAUAACCUGAAAAUCUUUUCCCACAAAUCGAGUCCUUAUUGCAUGAUAGGCACAAGCAGGUAGUUGUAUCCGCUUAUUCCCUAAGUAGCCAUGCACCAGCUGGGUAAAUUCUCGAUAUGCAACACUUCUCAAAUAUCUAAAUUUGCAAAAUAAAUCUUUGUCAUAAGUUAUUACAUGAAACAAUUUAAUUGAACUAAAUGAAAGCAUACAGGUAUGUACCUGUUCUCAUCAUCAUGCUUCACAUAUUUUCUUCCAUCUAUUUUUCUGAAUUUUGGGCCUGACAUUCUUAAUGACCAAAUAUCCAGACACACUGAAUUGAAUGCUGGAUGAAGUGUAAUGCAUUUUGGGACAAUUUUCAAUUCAUCCAGCACCAUUUCAUUCUUUAAGGACUCUAUGCAUUCGUCGAGCUCUUGGCAACAUUGACUUUCUUUCUCAUUUUGAAGCAGAUUAGUUCUGCAAUUACCACAAAUGCACCUACAAAUACCAAGUAGCAUUUGUUCAUGUUGCAAUAUAACUACUAGUUUAAAUUGACAAUGCUAACAAAAAACGCAGCACAAUAAUCGCUGACUUUGUGUGAAGUGAAUUAUGGCCCGUAACUUGUAAAUAUUUUAAAAAGGAAUAAAUACACUCACCACUGCUCCAAAGUCA